rnacentral:rRNA from 1 species
UUGUCCUGUGACUGCGUACCUUUUGUAUAAUGGGUCAGCGACUUAUAUUCAGUGGCAAGGUUAACCAUCUAGGGGAGCCGUAGGGAAACCGAGUCUUAACUGGGCGUUCAGUCUCUGGAUAUAGACCCGAAACCAGGUGAUCUAGCCAUGGGCAGGUUGAAGGUUGAGUAACAUCAACUGGAGGACCGAACCGACUAAUGUUGAAAAAUUAGCGGAUGACUUGUGGCUAGGGGUGAAAGGCCAAUCAAACCUGGAGAUAGCUGGUUCUCCCCGAAAGCUAUUUAGGUAGCGCCUCGGACGAAUACUACUGGGGGUAGAGCACUGUUAAGGCUAGGGGGUCAUCCCGACUUACCAACCCUUUGCAAACUCCGAAUACCAGUAAGUACUAUCCGGGAGACACACGGCGGGUGCUAACGUCCGUCGUGGAGAGGGAAACAACCCAGACCGCCAGCUAAGGUCCCAAAUUACUACUAAGUGGGAAACGAUGUGGGAAGGCUCAGACAGCCAGGAUGUUGGCUUAGAAGCAGCCAUCAUUUAAAGAAAGCGUAAUAGCUCACUG